GAUGAACGCUGGCGGCGUGCCUAAUACAUGCAAGUCGAGCGAACAGAUAAGGAGCCUGCUCCUUUGACGUUAGCGGCGGACGGGUGAGUAACACGUGGAUAACCUACCUAUAAGACUGGGAUAACUUCGGGAAACCGGAGCUAAUACCGGAUAACAUAUUGAACCGCAUGGUUCAAUAGUGAAAGGCGGCUUUGCUGUCACUUAUAGAUGGAUCCGCGCCGUAUUAGCUAGUUGGUAAGGUAACGGCUUACCAAGGCAACGAUACGUAGCCGACCUGAGAGGGUGAUCGGCCACACUGGAACUGAGACACGGUCCAGACUCCUACGGGAGGCAGCAGUAGGGAAUCUUCCGCAAUGGGCGAAGGCCUGACGGAGCAACGCCGCGUGAGUGAUGAAGGUCUUCGGAUCGUAAAACUCUGUUAUCAGGGAAGAACAAAUGUGUAAGUAACUGUGCACAUCUUGACGGUACCUGAUCAGAAAGCCACGGCUAACUACGUG
rnacentral:rRNA from 1 species